UAGAUGCUUGUCUUCCUUUGUCUCCUUCCCUUCCUUCCUUCCUCCUUUCUACAUUGCAUGUGAUGGAUAAAGCUCCAUCUAGGGCUAUGAGAUUGAGGACCUCAUCUGAUGUUUAGCAAACCUAAAAGGUGGAACCAGCCUAAGCCUCAGGAGAUUUGUGAAAUCAUAAUACCAGUUCUGGAUUUUCUCUCUAGAAAUUUUUUUAAUGUGAAAGAGAAACAAACAUCACUUUGUUUAUGCCACUGUUCUUUGCAGUCUCUGUAACUGGCAGCUAAUUUUAACUAAUCCAGAAACUUAUCCAAAGUGAUCAUGUAAGGUUCAAACCCAGGCCCACCAGUCUGCAAAAUCCACACUCUUAGGCAGAAGCCUGAAGAACUCCUGAUUAUAAUCUGCAAAAGAUUGGUGGUGGGGGAAGAGUGUGUGUGUGUGUAAAACUGCUGACAAGAAUUUGACAGAAGGAAAGAAGGAAAGUUCGAAUAUGCUCGCAAUUCUGCAUACCUAAGAGACAAUCAAAGGGAAUAUGCUACUGGACAGUAAAGAAUAUAGUCUCCAUCAGAGGUGGACAGAGAAAGAUCUGUCACCUGCAUGGAUCUGGAAAGAGAAAGGAAAGAGAAGCUGUGUCUCUGAAAGAUGCUGCUGUAUUUUAUUUCCCAUCUAUGUUUUAUAAAUUUCCUAUAUACAUUUAUUAUUCUGUUCAUAGAAAAUUCUAAAAGACUCAGUCACUAUUUCCACAGCCAAAUUUGUCAAAGUGUAAAAUUGUGUUUAGAAGUCUCAUCAUAAUUAUUAAGCACUCAUUCUGUGCCCAUCAGUAUGCUAGAUAUCAAGAACAAUAUCAAAAAGCAUCAAUAUUGGUUUCUGACCUCAAGCAGCUCAGAACUUAGGUGAACACAUAGAAAACAACCAAGUACUACUUACAUGAAGAGAUGGAUCAGUGCAGGUGUUAAUAAUCAGAAAGAGACUCAUGAAAGAGAAGUAAAAUUUAGAAAGACCUAAAUUCUAUAUGUUUGCCUUAUCUGCCCCAAAUAUUGUCUUAAAAUGACCAAUCCACCCUCAGGGCUCAGUCAAUCUCUUUCUGGUAACCUUAGAAAAUCCAGAAGAAAAAGACAUAGAAAUACUCUGUUUUCUACAGCAUCCCAUUGGUUUGGGGACAUAUCUAGUGGUAGGCUCCUCACAUUCAUAUGAUAAAGGAGAUGACUGUGAGCAGCAAUGUGGCCGGUUCCUCUGCCCAAUGGCACAAGCAGAGUCACAAAUAACAGAAAUGAAAGGAUUACUACAAAUUGUGUUAUUGAACUGCAUGACCUACAUGGAGCAAUCAACUCACUCCUAGGUUUGGCAGGGCCUUUCUGAGUUGAUUCCCUGAAAAACAAAACAAAACAAUAAAACCCAAACCAAACCAAAAAAUAAAAAAAAAAUUAAAAAAAGAGACUCUGAGUGUCAUCAUCUCUGCUCCAUGUGGCUGCCUUGAUAAGAGUUCAGAUUUCUCUGUGUCAUGAGAAAAUUUUUAUGGUUAAUGGAAGACAGAAUAUUAUCCAGUAUUAACAGUUAUUUUCCAAUUCUGUAUUAUAAAAUUAUUUCUGAUAAUGGAAAAUUCUCUAUUCCUUUCAAUUAAUUAAAACAUUGAAAUUCUGCAGUGUAUAAAAGAAAGCACUGGAGUUCUGGAGAGGUGAGGCAGAAUACGAAGGUAAACAGGAAUCAUUAUUCCUUUUCUCAGAGGUAUGUAAUCUACAGGGGAAGCAUGCAGCACCUGAAAGGGGAGGAGAGGUUGGUGGGCCACGCAGGGUUGAAGGAGGAGCAUAGGAACAUGGGUCUGGGAAAGUUUGGCUAGCUUUACAGUGCUCAAUUGAAAUACUACUUUGCAAUAUUUUCUCAACACCAGGGUUCAAGUUUGUUAGUCCUACUGAGACAUCAGGUCAGAAGAAAAGAACAAAAGUGAGAAGGCAUUCAUGGCUUUGCAUUCUCAGAAAGUCAUCCUGCUGGUUCAACUCUAGUUUUAACAUGAGCUCUCCUCGGGCCUGGGAGAAAUUCUGAGAAUGACCCCUGAGAAUGAGCUCAGUGGUGAGAAGUCCAAAGACAGGAUGAGGUCGACAUUGCAUGUGUUUUUGGAAUAAGAAUCAACACACUUAAAGACUGGGAUUUGGAAGUAAGAAGGAGUACAUGGAAGUGAUUCAGGAAGACAAGGAAAUGAGACACAAGUGGCAACAUUUGUCAAAGUUCUAUGCAUUUGUUCCUUUGGAUUCAAGUGAAACAUCUGGAGUCAAUUCUUAACCCAAUGUUGGUUUGUUCUCACCAAACUCUUUGCCCUGCUAUUGGAAAAUAUAUUACAUUUCUGUAUGUUAUAUGCCCACAAAUACAAUUAAAUAUAUACUGCUUUAUGAUUUUUAAACAAGAUAAGAAAGGAUAAGAAAUAGGCAAUUAUACUCCUUUAUAAUUGCAUAAUUACCUUUAUCAGUGUUCUUUGUUUUGUGUGUGUGUGUAUUCAAAUUACUGUCUUGGGUCACUUGCUUUCAGCCUGAAGAACUAACUUUAGUAUGUCUUGUAAGGUAGGUCUACUGGCAGCAGAUUCUUUCAGAUUUUGUUUUCCAAAUGUCUUUUUAUUUCAUCUUCAUUUUUAAAUGAUAAUUUUGCUGGAUAUAUGAUUCUUGAUUAAGAGCUUUUAAAAUUUGAGGGCUGAGAAUAGGUUAUCCUAUUGCCUUCAGCCCUCUA